rnacentral:rRNA from 1 species
GACAGAGGGUGCAAACGUUGCUCGGAAUCACUGGGCGUAAAGCGCGUGUAGGCGGCCAGAAAAGUCCGCUGUGAAAACUCGAGGCUCAACCUCGAGCUGUCGGUGGAAACUUUCUGGCUAGAGUCCGGAAGAGGAGAAUGGAAUUCCUGGUGUAGCGGUGAAAUGCGCAGAUAUCAGGAAGAACACCCGUGGCGAAGGCGGCUCUCUGGGACGGUACUGACGCUGAGACGCGAAAGCGUGGGGGAGCGAACAGG